CACCCACCGCCUCGUCUCCCUCAGACCAACCUCGCCGCCGGCCAUGGCCUCCACCGCCCUCUCCUCCCCUCCCCUCCCUCAUCACAAGCGAAGAGAGAAGAGAGGAGAAGAGGUAGAUCGGCCGACCAGGUCAGGCGGCGGCGACAGCCCAGAUCGGCGCGCCGGCACAGGACCUCCGGCGAUGAGGCCAUGCCCUCGUGAGGAGACGGCUGCCUCGACGGAGAUCCCUUCCGCCGUCUGUUCGAAUCGACCAUGGACCUAAUUCUUCCGUCUGCUCGGGACCAACCCUAGCGCCGCGCCGCGCCGCGCGGAAGUGCAGGUGAGACGCCGCCGCCGCCAACACACCACAUGCCCGUGACCAAGCUCCUCAAGACACAGGUUGGUUCGUUCAAGGGCGACGGCUCCUUCUCUGACAGCCAGCCCGCCCGUCUCGCCGGAUGUCGACGACAGCAGCGACCUGACCUGUUUGUCAAGGGGGAGAAGAAGGAGGACCACCGGGGCUCGUCAUGGCGCGCUUCAACAACAACACGAGGAGAGGCAAGAGAGACCUCUCAAGCAAAGGAAUGCCAUUCUUAGAAGUCAAGUCUUGUAGCUUUUCUUCUUCAAGGAAAUGAAGACGGAUUAUCAUGUCUUUGGCGCGCAACUUAAUUUGUUGUCUCUGUAGCUGUAGCCAGUGCUGAUAUAUAGCUCAAGGCUCUUCUUUUGCCCCGUGGGCUGAAUAUGUUGUGAUCUCCCUCUGGAUGCCUCCAGUUUGGCAUAGGACCCGACCUGUUUGUCAAGGGGGAGAAGAAGGGAGGACCACCAGGACUCGUCAUGGCACGCUUCAACAACACCAAGGGGAGAGGCAAGAGCAGCCUCUCAAGCAAAGGCCCAUGACCCCUACAUGGCCAGCCCUCAAGCAAAGGAAUGCCAUUCUUGGAAGUCAAGUCUUGUAGCAUUUCUUCUUCAAGGAAAUGAAGCCGGAAUAUCAUGUCUUCGGCGUGCAACUUAAUUUGUUGGCUCUGUACUGUAGCCAAUGAUGAUGUAUAGCUCAAGGUGUCCUCUUUUGCAGAUGUCUAACGAAAUAGCAAGACAUGCUCUGCGUUCUUUUCGAAAGUGCGGCUUCUCACAUACAGUGGUGCAGAUGCUGUGCUCACCCGAGACGCUCCGUGAGCUCGCCGAGGAAGCACACCGCCAGGGGCCCAAUGAGUAAGUACCUCAGUUGGGCCACCUUCCUGGAGCUCUACGUUGAUGAUGAGUUCUUUGGUGGACGCGACAUCACCGUUGACACACAUGUUAUUGGAGGGUAAUCUGUGAAGAAACCUAUUUUCUCUAGUAGCAUCAGUGCAUGGUACACGUCUUUGGUCUGACAUACAUUUAGUUGAGGGUGAUAUUAUGGAAACUUAUUGUCUGUGUACAUAGAUCAGGAAUACAUUCAUAUUGCCGUGCU